AUGACCUCAAAUCAGAUGAGACUACCCGCUGAACUUAAGCAUAUCAAUAAGCGGAGGAAAAGAAACUAACAAGGAUCCCCUCAGUAACGGCGAGUGAAGAGGGAAGAGCUCAGUUUUGAAAUCUGGCAGUCAUUCACUGUCCGAGUUGUAA
rnacentral:rRNA from 1 species